rnacentral:lncRNA from 1 species
AUGGGUUCAAAGACGCUUAAGUCCCAACUUUGUCUCCUGCUGCUUCUGGGACUUCUUCUAAUGCUUGUUUCAUGCCAGGCACAAACCCCUUCUCAGUGGUUUGAAAUCCAGCACAUAUAUAAUAGCGCCUAUCCCAGAUGUGAUGAUGCAAUGAGGGUCAUUCACGGUUAUAGCGGAGUAUGUAAGGACAAAAAUACUUUUCUUCAUACAACUUUUGCUAAUGUUGUCCCUGUGUGUUGCAAUUAGUGUAAGAUCUGCAAAGACAGGAGAAGUACAAAUGUCAUGAUAGUUCAUCUAAGAUACCUGUAAUAAUCUGUGAUCUCAUAACUUGGUCAAACCAACAUACACAUUGCAGAUACAAAACAACAGUAGCAAUGAAGUCCUACACAGUUGCCUGCAACCCCAGAACUCCACGGAACAGUCCCAGGUAUCCAUUCGUUCCAUGUCACUUGGAUGGGAC